GUGGGGAAGUUCCCGCUGAGGCAGCUAUUGCCUUACCGCAGUGGAUUUCCCGCCAGAAAUUCUCUGCCUCCGUGUAUAUAAUGCAGAGGGUCCCUUGCCGGUCAGUCCAGUUAUUAGGGUGAGUCCUGUGAUAAGGUACACACCGGAGAGGAAGUAGUACAGGUGCAGAAAGAAGAGAUAGAGAGAACACGGUCAUCAUUACACAAGAUGCAUCUUGCCCUUGUACUUCUGGCUGCUCUCGCACUUCUAGAGAGAUCCGAUGCUUGGGGGACCAACCAGCAGAAGAAAUAUUAUUACUAUUCUCCGCCUCGCCCCUACGGUUUCCCACAGGGAGCAAGCUAUGGUUCAUUCAGUAGGCCUACUUUUGGAGUGAGCGGAUUUCAUUCGCCCAGCGCCCCGACAGCACUGGGGGGCGGAGGAUUCCACGGAAGCAGUUUUGGUGGGCAGCCAGGAUUUGCAGGAGGCAAUGUCGGGGUCGGAAGUUUCAACUCUGGAUUUGGAAGUUUUCCUGGAGGUAACAUUGGAAGCGCUGGUGGUUUUCCUGGAAGUACCAUUGGAGGUGGCCAGGUAUUCCCUGGGAAUAUUGGAGGUUCUGGCGGACUCCCGGGAAAUAAUGCUGGCGGCUCUGGAUCUCAGAUACAGGGUGUAGGUGAUGGGGAUCUCGCUGGCAAAGUUGAUGUAAGAAUACAAAAAUAAUAUUCUCUCUCUCUCUCUCUCUCUCUCUCUCUCUCUCUCUCUCUCUCUCUCUCUCUCUCUCUCAGAAGAAGAAGAAUUUGCAUUGCAGCCUUUUAUCAAUAAAAAUUCGAUGUAUCUCACUUGUUAAUCACCGCAUUGUACAGUCUUGUUAUUACAAAACAAUAAAGGUGAACUGUUU